UGGGUGGAUCAAUGGUCUUGACUUGCCUGAGACCCAGCCUUUUCCUGCGGGGGAAAGGCUUAUAGGAAUAUAGGAAGCUGCCUUUAAGCAAGUCAAGACCAUUGAUCCACUCAGCUCAGU